rnacentral:rRNA from 1 species
CCUACGGGAGGCAGCAGUGGGGAAUAUUGCACAAUGGGGGAAACCCUGAUGCAGCGACGCCGCGUGAGUGAAGAAGUAUUUCGGUAUGUAAAGCUCUAUCAGCAGGGAAGAAGAAAGACGGUACCUGACUAAGAAGCCCCGGCUAACUACGUGCCAGCAGCCGCGGUAAUACGUAGGGGGCAAGCGUUAUCCGGAUUUACUGGGUGUAAAGGGAGCGUAGACGGCUGUGCAAGUCUGAAGUGAAAGCCCAGGGCUCAACCCUGGGACUGCUUUGGAAACGGUGGAGCGAGAGUGCUGGAGAGGUAAGUGGAAUUCCUAGUGUAGCGGUGAAAUGCGUAGAUAUCGCGCAGAACUCCGAUUGCGAAGGCAGCGUACCGGCGCCAGACUGACGCUGAGGCACGAAAGCGUGGGGAUCGAACAGGAUUAGAUACCCCAGUAGUC